ACCACUUGUUGCCUCGGCGGAUCAGCCCGCUCCCGGUAAAACGGGACGGCCCGCCAGAGGACCCCUAAACUCUGUUUCUAUAUGUAACUUCUGAGUAAAACCAUAAAUAAAUCAAAACUUUCAACAACGGAUCUCUUGGUUCUGGCAUCGAUGAAGAACGCAGCAAAAUGCGAUAAGUAAUGUGAAUUGCAGAAUUCAGUGAAUCAUCGAAUCUUUGAACGCACAUUGCGCCCGCCAGUAUUCUGGCGGGCAUGCCUGUUCGAGCGUCAUUUCAACCCUCAAGCACAGCUUGGUGUUGGGACUCGCGUUAAUUCGCGUUCCUCAAAUUGAUUGGCGGUCACGUCGAGCUUCCAUAGCGUAGUAGUAAAACCCUCGUUACUGGUAAUCGUCGCGGCCACGCCGUUAAACCCCAACUUCUGAAUGUUGACCUCGGAUCAGGUAGGAAUACCCGCUGAACUUAAGCAUAUCAA
rnacentral:misc_RNA from 1 species